UACAAAGUGUCAGAGCAGAGCAAUCUGCGAUGGCGUGCCUUUUGUUUAAUGAGUCUGCGAGUCAGUGUUUGUGGCAAGACUAAGGGCUUCCGGCCCGGAGUCGCAGCGAAAGCAAGUCCGAAUAGGGCGAAUUAAGUCGCAGGUACUGGACCCGAAGCGGAGGUGACCUACCCUUGGCCAGGUUGAAGCAUGGGUAAAACCAUGUGGAGGACCGAACAGGUGAACGUUGAAAAGUUCUCUGAUGAGCUGAGGGUAGGAGUGAAAGGCUAAUCAAACCCCGUGAUAGCUGGUUCUCUCCGAAAUGCAUUUAGGUGCAGCGUCACGUGCUGAUGCGCGGGGGUAGAGCACUGACAAGGCUAGGGGGCACACCCGCUUACCAAACCUUAUCAAACUCCGAAUACCGUGCAAUGGAACGUGGCAGUGAGACAGUGGGGGAUAAGCUUCAUUGUCGAGAGGGAAACAACCCAGACCAGCAGCUAAGGUGCCUAAAUAACGCUCAGUGGAAAGGAUGUGGGAUUACACAGACAGUGAGGAUGUUGGCUUAGAAGCAGCCACCAUUUAAAAAAUGCGUAAUAGCUUACUCAUCGAGUGAUCCUGCGCCGAAAAUGAUUGGCGAUCAAGCGUUAUACCGAAGCUCUGGACUUUACCUUACGGUAGAGUGGUAGAAGAGCGUUGCAUGCGCGUUGAAGGGUGAUGGCGACUGACCCUGGAGCACAUGCAAGUGAGUAUGCAGACAUGAGUAACGUAAAGCCGGGUGAAAUCCCCGGCCGCCGUAAACCCGAGGUUUCCAGGGCAACGUGUUUCGUCCCUGGGUUAGCCGGGACCUAAGCCGAGGCCGAGAGGCGUAGGCGAUGGAUAUCAGGUUAAUAAUCCUGAGCUCGCGACCCUUAAACUGGGGGGACGCAUGAGAAAAGAUGACUAGGUUAUUGAAUUCCGAGUUGAGUCCACGGACUCAGCGCAUCAUUGGAUCGAGUGCCAAGAAAAGCCCCAGCGUAUGCUAAGCGACCCGUACCGCAAACCGACACAGGUGGGUGGGUAGAAUAUACCAAGGCGUAAGAGUGAAACCUGGUUAAGGAACUCGGCAAAUUAGCCCCGUAACUUCGGAAGAAGGGGUGCCUGCAGCGAUGCAGGCCGCAGAGAAAUGGCCCAACCGACUGUUUAUCAAAAACACAGCACUCUGCAAAGACGCAAGUCGAAGUAUAGGGUGUGACACGUGACCAAUGCCGAAAGAUUAAGGCAAGGGGUUAGCCGCAAGGCGAAGCUCUGAACCCAAGUCCCGGUGAAUGUCGGCCGUAACUAUAACGGUCCUAAGGUAGCGAAAUUCCUUGUCGGGUAAGUUCCGACCUGCACGAAUCGUGAAACGAGUUGGGCACUGUCUCAACCAGGCGCUCAGUGAAAUUGUAGUGGCGGUGAAGAUGCCGCCUACCCGCAGAAGGACGGAAAGACCCUAUAGACCUUAACUGUAAGCUGUCAUUGUUUCUUCGGUUUUAAUGCUCAGAGUAAGUGGGAGACGCUGAAGACGCCCUUUAGGGGGCGUCGGAGUCAUCAAUGAGACACCACCCUUUGAAACUGGAGGAUCUAACCCUGAGCCGUGAAUCCGGCCAGAGGACCGUGUCAGCCGGUCAGUUUUACUGGGGCGGUAUCCUCCCAAAGAGUAACGGAGGAGCGCGAAGGUGGGCUCAGCCCGGUUGGCAACCGGGUGUCGAGUGCAUGGGCAUAAGCCCGCCUAACUGUGAGACCAACAAGUCGAGCAGAUGCGAAAGCAGGCCCAAGUGAUCCGGCGGUAGAAAGUGGAAUUGCCGUCGCUCAACGGAUAAAAGGUACCUUAGGGAUAACAGGCUGAUCACGCCCAAGAGUUCAUAUCGACGGCGUGGUUUGGCACCUCGAUGUCGGCUCGUCGCAUCCUGGGGCUGGAGAAGGUCCCAAGGGUUCGGCUGUUCGCCGAUUAAAGCGGCACGCGAGCUGGGUUCAGAACGUCGCGAGACAGUUCGGUCCUCUAUCCUCUGUGGGCGUUGGAAAAUUGAGGGGUUCAGACCUUAGUACGAGAGGACCGGGUCUGACGCACCACUGGUGCAUCGGUUGUACUGUCAAGUGCAUGGCCGAGUAGCUAAGUGCGGACGGGAUAAGCGCUGAAAGCAUCUAAGCGCCAAGCCCAUCCCAAGAUGAGUUUUCCCUAUAGGUUCGUGGAAGACCACCACGUUGAUAGGUCGCAGGUGUAAGUGCAGCAAUGUAUUGAGCCAAGCGAUACUAAUCACCAAUAGACUUCAUC
rnacentral:rRNA from 1 species